rnacentral:lncRNA from 1 species
GUGCAGGGGCCCAGUCCCACCGGCGGCUGCCUAAAGGCUGCUGUCAGCCCGGCGGCAAACGUUCAAACAGCCGCUGCCUGCCCAGGCCCCUGCCGGCCCAGCUCUGUAAACCGCCCCUGGCAGUUCGGCGCUGCAAACGACACUCCCUCCCCCCCCUCGGGUGAACAGCUCCCGACCCCCGGCUCUGCGAACAGCCCCACCCGCCCCGCACUGCGAACAGCCCCGCGAACACCACAGCGAACGGGAUACCACCUUGGCAGAGAGCUGACGUCACGGGCCGAGGAGAUAACUUCAUUGAAACCAGCGCAACAG